AAUAAGCAUAAUACUCCCUGCGCACACUCUGACAAUGAGAGCGCCACUGCCAACUACUGGAGUGGAUGUGCAAUUACACUUUAUUUUAGUACGG